rnacentral:lncRNA from 1 species
UUCAUUUUAGUAUGAAAUUCAAAUUGAAAAUCCAAAAAUAUUUUUCUUUGGUAAUCAUAGAAUUCAUUUUCUAUAGGAAAUUUAAAGCUUAAAAAUUCAAAAAAAAAAUUCGCCAAUUCUUUUGACAAAUUGUUAUUUUCUUUUCUUCUUAAAGUUUCAAGAAUAAGAAAGAGAAUUUGACUGGCCAUUUUUUGGCCAAACUUCACGAACU